AGUUUCAAACAGGGGUGCCGAAAGGCUGAGAGGCAUUUGAUGCCAACCCUUUGAACCUGAUCUGGGUAAUACCAGCGGAGGGAGUGAUUAAUAUGAUUUUUU
rnacentral:ncRNA from 1 species